rnacentral:rRNA from 1 species
AGGACGAACGCUGGCGGCGUGCCUAAUACAUGCAAGUCGAACGGUCUUUCUAUGGAAGCUUGCUUCCACUGAGAAGAUAGUGGCGAACGGGUGAGUAACACGUGGGUAACCUGCCCAUAAGAGGGGGGAUAACAUCCGGAAACGGGUGCUAAUACCGCAUAGUUUUCUUGAUCGCAUGAUCGGGAAAGGAAAGACGGCCUUUGUGCUGUCGCUUAUGGAUGGACCCGCGGCGUAUUAGUUAGUUGGUGAGGUAACGGCUCACCAAGACGAUGAUACGUAGCCGACCUGAGGGGUGAUCGGCCACAUUGGGACUGAGACACGGCCCAAACUCCUACGGGAGGCAGCAGUAGGGAAUCUUCCGCAAUGGACGAAAGUCUGACGGAGCAACGCCGCGUGAGUGAAAGAAGGUUUUCGGAUCGUAAAACUCUGUUGUCAGAGAAGAACAAGUUGGAGAGUAACUGCUCCAGCCUUGACGGUAUCUGACCAGAAAGCCACGGCUAACUACGUGCCAGCCGCCGC